rnacentral:rRNA from 1 species
GGUUAGACGAAGAAUCUAAAUAGAGUAAACUAUUAUUUUAAUUAACAGUAAAUGAUUUUGAGUAUAUUAUUUUCUUUUUUUAGGUGAAAUUUAUAUAAAGAAGUAAAUUAUCUUUAAUUAUUUGAAGGAAUAUAAAAAAUAGAGAUCAAAAACCAGGAUUAGAUACCCUGUUAUUCUCUACAAUAGGUAAUAGGGUAGUAAAAGUUGUUCUUCAAACCCAAAGGUUUUGGCGGCAUUCUAACCAAACAGAGGAGCUUGUCUUGUAAUCGAUAACCCUCGUUUUAUCUUACCUUCAUUUGUUUAACUUGUAUACCUCCGUUGUCAGAUUACUCCAAAAGGAUGUUUUCUAUAAAAUUAAUCUUUUUACUUCAGGUCAAGGUGCAGUUUAUGUGAAGGAAAUGGUGAGCUACAGUUUUUUAAAAAAAAUACGGAUCUUAAAUUAUAAUUUGGGUGAAGGUGGAUUUGUUAGUAAGUUUAUUUUAGGAAAAUAAACUGAACAAGGCAAUAGAAUGUGUACAUAUCGCCCGUCACUCUCCUUCUAAGAGGAGA